rnacentral:rRNA from 1 species
GACGAACGCUGGCGGCGUGCCUAAUACAUGCAAGUCGAACGCAGUGGGGACGGGUGAGUAACACGUGGGUAACCUCCCAUCAGAGGGGAUAACACUUGGAAACAGGUGCUAAACCGAUAUAGAUGGAUGAACCCGCGGGGCAUUAGCUAGUUGGUGAGGUAACGGCUCACAAAGGCCACGCUGCAUAGCCGACCUGGGAGGGUGAUCGGCCAACCUGGGACGUAGAACCGCCCCAGACUCCUACGGGAGGCAGCAUGAGGGAGUUUUCGGCAAUGGACGAAAGUCUGACCGAGCAACGCCGCGUUAGUGAAGAAGGUUUUCGGAUCGUAAAACUCUGUUGUUAGAGAAGCGGUAUCUAACCAGAAAGCCACGGCUAACUACGUGCCAGCAGCCGCGGUAAUUC